GUGGAUAUAGCUCAGUGGUAGAGCACAUGCUUAGCAUGCACAAGGUCCUGGGUUCAAUCCCCAGUACCUCUA
rnacentral:tRNA from 1 species